rnacentral:rRNA from 1 species
GUGUCAGCAGCCGCGGUAAGACGUAGGGCGCGAGCGUUGUCCGGAUUUAUUGGGCGUAAAGAGCUCGUAGGCGGCUCGUUGCGUCGGCUGUGAAAACCCGCAGCUCAACUGUGGGCUUGCAGCUGAUACGGGCGGGCUGGGAUUCGGUAGGGGAGACUGGAAUUCCUGGUGUAGCGGUGAAAUGCGCAGAUAUCAGGAGGAACACCGGUGGCGAAGGCGGGUCUCUGGGCCGAUAUCGACGCUGAGGAGCGAAAGCGUGGGGAGCGAACAGGAUUAGAUACCCUUGUAGUCC